CUGUAGAGCGCAAGCGCCCUGCGUGCCUGUUGCCGGCUUGGCGACCUUUCUGAGCCUGCGGCCUCACAGUUGUCGAGUGACUCAGGUGGCCUGUGAGACUGAGUUGCCGUGGUGACGGCCGUGCGUGGCCGCGCGUGACAGUUAGAUGAGAGCUUGCUGGAGGAGAUCGGCGAUGCUGAGCGCCGGAGUUUCCACGGAGUAAAGUACUUGGCUAGACACAUACUAGGUCCUCGGUAGGCAUCAGACUUGGAGCAGAGAGACCUUCCUGUCCAUCUUCUUCUCUUCCUCUGGCACUACCAACUUCAGCCUUCCUAAAGGAAGUUCAGGAUUGAGAAACCAGACCUGAGACUAAGGGAUCAACUUCCCAGCGGGACAUUUUUGAAGAAGAUUCAUUCUAGGGAACAACCAUAGAAAGACUAACAGGAAACAGUACCUGGGACUCUGGUACAUGAAAUUUGGGGAUGGGAGGAUCACUUACAGAGACAUUCAGGACAAGGAGUCAUACUGACAAAGAACAAUUUCAGGGAGAUCACUACCUAUAAAUGCAGUGCUUUCGAGGGACGCUUCAGUCUAUAGUCAGUUCUUGUUUGACAAUAGGGAGUUCCUACAGGAGAAAAAUAUCUCCCUACAUCUUGUACACAUGUAGGGAGACUGACACCAAAUUUCAACCUGGUUAUUCAGCAGGCUUCUGUGCAGCAAAGAAGCUGUGGCAAUGUAGUGAAUGGGGAAAGUCCUUCUGUGACCAUCCCACCUUCAUUGGGCAUCAGGGCAUUCACACUGGAGAAAAACUAUAUAUUUGUAAGGAAUAUGGAAAAGCCUUCAUCCAGAGCUCAUCUCUUACAAAGCAUCAAAGAUAUCAUGUAGGAGACAAACCCUUUAAAUGUAGUGAAUGUGACAAAGCUUUCAGCCAGAGCUCAUCAUUGACCACCAGAGAAUCCACAUAGGAAAAAAUCCCUAUCAAUGCAGUGAAUGUGGGAAGGCCUUCGACAAAAGCACACUCCUGAUUCGCCACACACGCUUCCACAGAGGGGAGAAGCCCUACAAGUGCAAUGAGUGUGGGAAGGCCCUCAGCCACAGCACAUACCUAACGCAGCAUCACAGGAUACACACUGGAAAGAGACUCUAUAAAUGCAGUGAAUGUGGGAAAGCCUUCACUGAUACCUUGUUCUUUUCUAGACACCUCUUUUUCUCACACUGGAGAGAAACCCUAUAGAUGUGAUGAAUGUGGAAAAGCCUUUAGUGGCCCCUCAGAGCUUAUUCAGCAUCAAAGAACAUGCACAGGGGAGAAGCCCUAUAAAUGCACAAAAUGUAGAAAAGCUUUUAGUUAGAAAUACAUGCCUUAUUGGACACCAGGGAAUUCACACUAGAGGGAAACCCCACAAAUGUAAAGAAUGUGAGAAAGCCUUCAGCUAGAGCUCACACCUUAUAAAAUAUCUAAGAGUGCACACUGGAGAGAAACUAUAAAUGCAAGGAAUGUAAAAAAGCCUUCACCCAGUGGGCAUCCCUAUGCAUCAUCAGAAAAUUCAUAACACAAAAAAGCCCUAUGAAUAUUAUAAUUCCUUUAUUGAAUCCUUGGCCUUUUUAAAGCACUAGAAUGUUAAUACUGGAGACAGAGUCUGUGAAUGAAUGGAGAUGCUCAGUGGGACCACUGGAUGUGAGGAUUACUUCAGAGUAACUUCUAACAUUCCUUCUCACCCUGAGAUGUCAUCGUAAGAAAUGUUGGGGUCCUCCUCUUUGCCUAGGAUUGUGUUGCAUGGCGUGUGGAUAGGACACUAUUGCAAAUCUCUCUCUCUCUCUCUCUCCCUGUAAGUUAGCAUGAAUUGAUGAGUAACACUUGUUGGGGUUUAAAUUCAAAUAUGGGCUUAAAUUUAAAUAUUGAGUUAAAAGUAUUAUUUGAAACUUUAAAUAAAAUACAGU